GGCGAACGGGUGAGUAACACGUGAGUAACCUGCCCUUGACUCUGGGAUAAGCCUGGGAAACUGGGUCUAAUACCGGAUAUGACUUCUCAUCGCAUGGUGGGGGGUGGAAAGCUUUUGUGGUUUUGGAUGGACUCGCGGCCUAUCAGCUUGUUGGUGGGGUAAUGGCCUACCAAGGCGACGACGGGUAGCCGGCCUGAGAGGGUGACCGGCCACACUGGGACUGAGACACGGCCCAGACUCCUACGGGAGGCAGCAGUGGGGAAUAUUGCACAAUGGGCGCAAGCCUGAUGCAGCGACGCCGCGUGAGGGAUGACGGCCUUCGGGUUGUAAACCUCUUUCAGUAGGGAAGAAGCCCUCUUUUGGGGGUGACGGUACUUGCAGAAGAAGCGCCGGCUAACUACGUGCCAGCAGCCGCGGUAAUACGUAGGGCGCAAGCGUUAUCCGGAAUUAUUGGGCGUAAAGAGCUCGUAGGCGGUUUGUCGCGUCUGCUG
rnacentral:rRNA from 1 species